AUCAGGGAUUUUGUGCAAUGGGCGAAAGCCUGACACAGCGACGCCGCGUGAGUGAUGACGGCCUUCGGGUUGUAAAGCUCUGUUUACGGGGAAGAAGAGGUGACGGUACCCGUAGAGGAAGCCCCGGCUAACUACGUGCCAGCAGCCGCGGUAAGACGUAGGGGGCGAGCGUUGUCCGAAGUUACUGGGCGUAAAGCGCGCGUAGGCGGUUUGUUAAGUGGGGUGUGAAAGGCCUCGGCUCAACCGGGGGAGAGCAUUCUAGACUGGCAGACUUGAGGGCAGGAGAGGGGAGUGGAAUUCCUGGUGGAGCGGUGAAAUGCGUAGAGAUCAGGAAGAACACCCGUGGCGAAGGCGGCUCUCUGGUCUGUGCCUGACGCUGAGGUGCGAAGGCGUGGGGAGCGAACGGGAUUAGAUACCCUAGUAGUCC
rnacentral:rRNA from 1 species